UACGAGGGGGGCAAGCGUUGUCCGGAUUUAUUGGGCGUAAAGAGUUCGUAGGCGGAUUAGUAAGUCGAUAUUGAAAUCCAAUGGCUUAACCAUUGAUACAGUAUGGAUACUGCUAAUCUUGAAUUAUGUAGAGGUAAGUGGAAUUUCUGGUGUAGCGGUGAAAUGCGUAGAUAUCAGAAGGAACACCAAAGGCGAAGGCAACUUACUGGGCAUUAAUUGACGCUGAGGAACGAAAGCGUGGGUAGCAAAC
rnacentral:rRNA from 1 species